rnacentral:misc_RNA from 1 species
GCAGUUUGCUUGUAUUGAAAACAUAACACACUGUACUUCCUGCAAACCCAUUCAAAACGAAUUAGAGUAUCGGAUGUGAAAUUAUUGACGUAAAGCGCAGUAACGUUAGAGACAAACGUCUGAAAAAGAUGGUCUAUCUAUUAGAAUGCUCUUGCUGAUACCUACAUUUUGGACAAAAUCAAGUUGUGUUAAAUUUACGAUCCUUCUUCACCUCUAUUGGUAAGUUGACAAGUUAAUUCAAUUUAUAAAAAUUACAAUCAAAAAAGUGAUAAUUCGAUAAAAUCGUCAUGAAUAUUAAUAGUAUUAUGAUCGUAGUAUAAACGAUAAUUCAAGCUUUCAAUUCGUAAAGUUGAAUAUUGUUUGUGCGAUAAACAGCAUAAGGUUUCUAUAUAAAGAAAAAAAAAAUACAUAAAUCAAUGAACAAAAGAUACAUAAACAAGUUUAAAAAAAAAAUCAUACCAUUAAAAUGGAGGGUAUUUGUAUAAUAGAUUUAAAAAGUUAUUAAUAAGUAAUUAGAUGGAAAAAAAAACUAGUUAAAUUGUAUAUGAAUGUAUUUUUAAGGCUAUUUUGUAAACAUGUAUAUAUAUAUAUAUGAUUUUUCAACCUUAUCCCCCAUUCAUAAAAAUGACCUUUUGAAUUGUUAAAUGUUUUGAAUGAAUAUAUGAAGAAUUGUUCGAUGAAACUUACUAAACAGUCAAUAGAAUGUUUUGAGUUAUAAUUAGUUUUAAAUGGAUUCUUUUACAGUUUUAUCCUUUACUUGUUUUUUUUUUUAAAAAAAAACUGUAUAUAUACUGUAUAUAUACACGCGUAUAAUGUAAUUAUUACUAGAGGUCAAUAUUUAUUAUAACUUAACCGGGUUGUUUAAAAUUGGAUUCACCGAAACGCAUGCGCCAAUGGGAAAAUAUCGCCUCGAUGACGGACAUAUAGUAAAUAGUAUUUAGUUCGUUUAUUGAACUUGUUUCUCAUAGCAUUUUUAAUCUGUUGGCAGAUUCAAGGGAUGUCUGACUCGGUGAAUAGAUUUAGUCUGCUGCCUCGUUCAGCAAGAGCUCUAAGUGUUGAUACUGCUUCGCUCAUGCUAACUGCAAAGCAACUGAAGCGUUUGGAUACCAUUUAUGAAAAAAAACUAAAGCAUGACCAUGAUAAUGAUUCUGGAAAUGAGUCGGCGGGAGAAAUAGACUCUCCUGAAGCAGUUUACAUAACGCCGAAAACUCGAGAAAAAAUAUCUUCAUUGGCGCCAUCUUCAGUUGAACUAGUCAUUCCCGAAAAUGUAAUGCCUAGACGGGGUAGCCUGCAGGAUAUCAAAAUAUUAGCUGAAAAUAAGCCGAAAAAGGGUCUUUCAAGAAUUGAAAGUUUACCAUGUAUAACGGCAUUACAGACGAAGAACGAGAAAGUAGAGUUACCAAAUAGAACGAUAAAUAAGCGAACGGGACUGCUUUCCAGUGAUGAAGUUCUUAAGAAAAUUGGUCCCGAAGUUAUAAAUUAUAAUAAAAGGCGAGCGGGCGACGCAGAAAUAAUUAAAUCAUUUUUGAGCUUUCCAGCUGAAAAAGCAAUAUCCAAAACUGCAAAUAAUUUAGAAACUUCAGUACAAAACGUUCAGCCAAAAGUAUCCAAUGUUGAACAAGAAAAUAUGAUAAAAACAACUGAUACCAAGACAAAAGAACAAAAACUCUUUGCUCCUCCAAAAAAGAAUGAAACUUUUGGAAAAUUUCUAAAGAGAAGAUUAUCCGGCGGAAGUAGUCAAGAUAACAUUAUUGCACCAACCUCUCAUUAAAACUUUCUACAACUAUUCUUUCUAUCAUUAUCCAUAAUUUUAAACAUAUUUUUUUUCUUUUUAAUUCAUUUAUUAUCGUUUAUUUAUCAUUUUGUCCAUUUAAUCUUGAUGAUAAGCUAUUUGGUAUAUGGAUUUGAAUUACUUGAUAUUCAAGAAUUUAGUCGAAAUGAAAAUUUCAUAAAAAAACUUUUCUAUUGCGUUUGUUUUUUUUUAAAAAAAACAAAAUGUUUUUAAGAAUCUGAAAAUAUUUUUUCAUUUAGU